rnacentral:lncRNA from 1 species
UGGUCUUGCUGACUUCAAGAAUGAAGCCACGGACCUUCACGAGAAAUAUUACGUUGUAUGGAUGUACCACUGUUUGUUUAUCCAUUCUUCAGGUGAAGGACAUGUGGGUUGUGCCCAGCGCGGGCUGAAUAAAGAUACACACACAGGCACAUUGGAAACGCAGUAGAAAAUGGCUGCCAAUUUAAAACCAGAAGUUAAGAAGAGCAAACUCGAAUGUACAGCAAGAGAGCUUCAGGCUGGACUGGCUUCCAGCAGAAGUGGGACUGGAAACCUCGGAUUCUAUUGUCUCUUCUCUGUGAAGUGGGAAAACAUGUCAGUAUCUGAACUUGAGCUUGGUAAUUACUGCUCAUUUCUCAACCUUUUCCAAGCCACGUAACUCCCCUAAGGCUUAGUUUUCUUAUCUGUGAAUUGCGAGAUGGUAUGUUCUUCAUCACGAGGUUGCUAUAAAGACUGAAUGAGAUAAUGUGUGUGGAAGCACCAAGCAUGGUCCUUGGCAUGCAGUAGAUGCUCAAUAAAUAUGAACUGGAGUACACAUGCACUCUGCUCCCUCCUGCCCCCUCAUAGUGCCUGGUCUGGCUCUGGG